rnacentral:rRNA from 1 species
UACGUAGGGGGCAAGCGUUAUCCGGAUUUACUGGGUGUAAAGGGAGCGCAGACGGCAGUGCAAGUCUGGAGUGAAAGCCCGGGGCCCAACCCCGGAACUGCUCUGGAAACUGUGCGGCUAGAGUACUGGAGGGGCAGGCGGAAUUCCUAGUGUAGCGGUGAAAUGCGUAGAUAUAUGGAAGAACACCAGUGGCGAAAGCGGCUCUCUGGUCUGUAACUGACGCUGAGGUUCGAAAGCGUGGGUAGCAAACAGG